GCCCUGGUAGUGUAGUGGCCUAUCAUGCGAGAUUGUCGAUCUUGCGACCCGGGUUCAAAUCCCGGCCGGGGCG
rfam:Candidatus Altiarchaeales archaeon IMC4 isolate IMC4_SM1 MSIBFv1_B, whole genome shotgun sequence.